rnacentral:rRNA from 1 species
AUGAAAAUGAUAUGUUGGAACUGCCGAGGCUUAGGUCAGCCUCGGACAGUUCAAGAACUUGUGUGCCUUUCAAAGACACACCGGCCUAACAUUAUCUUUCUUUCUGAAACAAGAAAAAAUAAAGAGUAUGUUGAGAGUUUGCGCUACCGCUUGGGUAUGAAAAAUGUUUUUGCUGUUUCUAUGCCAGGCAAAGGAGGUGCAUUAGCGGUCUAUUGGGAUGACCUGUACACUUUGGAGUUAAACAAAUAUGGGGAACAUUUUAUUGACAUGUACAUUUCCAACGAUGCUGGCACUAAGUGA